rnacentral:rRNA from 1 species
GAUGAACGCUGGCGGCGUGCCUAAUACAUGCAAGUCGAGCGAACGGACGAGAAGCUUGCUUCUCUGAUGUUAGCGGCGGACGGGUGAGUAACACGUGGAUAACCUACCUAUAAGACUGGGAUAACUUCGGGAAACCGUAGCUAAUACCGGAUAAUAUUUUGAACCGCAUGGUUCAAAAGUGAAAGACGGUCUUGCUGUCACUUAUAGAUGGAUCCGCGCUGCAUUAGCUAGUUGGUAAGGUAACGGCUUACCAAGGCAACGAUGCAUAGCCGACCUGAGAGGGUGAUCGGCCACACUGGGACUGAGACACGGUCCAGACUCCUACGGGAGGCAGCAGUAGGGAAUCUUCCGCAAUGGGCGAAAGCCUGACGGAGCAGCGCCGCGUGAGUGAUGAAGGUCUUCGGAUCGUAAAACUCUGUUAUUAGGGAAGAACAUAUGUGUAAGUAACUGUGCACAUCUUGACGGUACCUAAUCAGAAAGCCACGGCUAACUACGUG